ACUUCCGUGAAAUUGAAGCUGAGAAACCAGAAGAUUACAGACAUGUCCAGGAGACACCAACAAUCUGAGGAUGCAGAAUGUCUGAUAAGUGAUGAUAAAGGACAUUUUGGAUCUUUAUCACAGUUACUGUCUUGAUCAUUAUUGUACGCUGGUUUUGCGUAUGUGUGUGAAGGCAACCACCUAUAUAGAUAUUGUUUAGUACGACUAAGAAUGUGUUGUGAUUGAAGGAAAUGUUUCCCUUUAAUUCUAGAUAUGUAGAAAUGCACAGAUAAACAGGAACAGUCUCCUGAAUCAUUAUCGCCAAAAUUUCUAACAUUGAUUUAUAGAUUUUUAGAAAAAGAUUCCUUUUGAUUCUGGUUCCUCUUCAUUUAUUAUCAAAACAUUGUUAGCACGGUGUAUUAUUAAGUGUUUCUGAAAGGGAGCUAACCACCCUGCAUCCACCACACCUUACAUCAAUAGAUGAAGUGGAGAAGAAUGGAAUGGCGAAUGCCAUAUGAUGUCAAAAAACACUGAUGCUUAAGGUUCAGAGAAAACGGAAUACAUUUCAGGUUACAGCGCGACGUGACUUUCGGGUUUUAUUGCAACAUGCCACCUUCACGUGCUAUCAAAAUGAUCUUAAUUACCAGUUUAUCUUGUCAGAAUGUUAAACAUAAGCCACAUCAGGAUCAUUCAAAGAGGAAUGUAAAAUGCCAUUACACAAUCUUACCUUUACUUCAUAAAUAAUCUGGCUUAGUGGUUAGCGCAUUCGCCACACCUCCAGCGUCCUGGGUUCAAGUCUCGCUGCCACUCACUGUGUACAGUGUGGAGUUUGCAUGUUCUCCCUGUGCUUGGUGGGUUUCCUCCUGCAGUCCAAAGACAUGCUUCUAGGUUGAUUGGAGUCUCUAAAUUGCCCGUUGUGUGUGCCCUGUGUUGGGUUGGCACUCCGUCCAGGGUUUAUCUUGCCUUGAUGUCUGAGGCACAGGCUCCCCGUGACCCGAGGAUAGAUUGGAUAUGCGGUACAGGCAAUGAAAUGAAAAAUAAAGUUUAAAAAAUGAUCAAAGAAGGAGAAAAAAGACCACUGUUUUUAGAAUAUUACAACAAGAAAACAAAUAAGAGAAAGCAUUUCAAAUGCUUGCUGAAGAGAUGUGUCAACACAGCACAGAGAAACACCCUCAGUAAAGCUCUUCCUUCUAAACUUGGAUGAGUCAUGUCACUCUUGAAGCCUGAAGGUACGUAGGUAGGGUUUUGCCCAAAUUUGGAAUUGUUGGUGAGCUUUCCUGUACGAAGAUGAUUGGCUGACGACCGAUAGAAAACGAAUCGGCUUCAUUUUCUCUGUGAUACUUGUCAAGAGAAGGAAAUGGUUUCCACAUAUUUUUACCGGACUCUACAAAAAAUCUUCAAACAAAAUAGUAAUGAAAGUGCAUAUUUAGAUGCACAGCCUAAUAAUAGAUCAGAUCCACCAUGGCUUAAGAAGGACAUUAUAGAGAAAUAUACUGAUCAACUAGAAUCUACAAAUGGCCCAGUAGUUUAUAAAAAUGGAGAAGUUUUAGAAUAUAAAGCCAACAUGGAGCUACUGAUUCAACACAAAAUACCUUGUGUAAUAAUCACUAAGUUUGAUGCUUUGAAAUUUGUAAAUUUUAUUCCAAAUGGACUCGGCUGUUAUUAUGGUUACGGUUAUGUCUUGACUGCUUUACAUGUAGUUAAGCCUCCACGUUUCGGGAAGUCUAAAAUACUCAUUGCUUUCCCUACUGAAGACUUUAUACUGGUCUACAAGGCUGAUUUUAAUCAAUCUUGUAACACUGAUGCAGAUCGAGAUCUGGCUUUUGUUAAGUUACGGGGCAACACUCAUCCACUUGGUGAUGGUUUACAUAAUCAGAUUGCUAAUAUGAAUGUAAAUGACAAUAUUUACUUUCAUACCCGGGCCCUUAAUGGGAAUUUUCAGAAGCAGGAGGGUGAAGUAUAUAAAAAGAUGACGAAACCUGAUAUGUUUGCAAUAUCUGUAGCAGGUAAACCUGGAGACAGUGGCUCACCUAUUUUCAACUCGAAACAUGAACUGGUUGCCAUAUAUCGAGGUGGCUUUCAGAAUUCUGAAUUUGGCCACUGUUCUAAAAUUCCUCAAAACUUUACACCCUGGGUCCAAAGUCUUAGACUUAGUUCAUACUUCUUGCAUAAAUGGCAGUUGUUCCUAUGCUUUUUGAGUAAAAUUGGUGAUGAACCCCUGUAGCCACUUAUCUGAUCUCAAAUUUCUGGAAAAAAAAAAAAAAAUUUAACCAAAAAAACCUGCUCCUGCUUUUUUCCCCUCUCAUGGCUUGUCUCCCUCUUUCUAUCUUAGGUCGCCUUGCCUGAGCAUUUUGUUUUUCUGAGUGUGUGACUAUGUGACUGUGUGUGUGUGUCUGUGUGUGUGUGUGUGUACGUAUACGAACACGCCCAACACGUGAGCCAAAGCGAACCACUGUACAGAAGCCUUCUAUACUUUUGAAAGUUUUGAAAAGUUGUUAAAAAGCUUGCGUCAAAGUGCAAACCCGCUGAGUUUCACCUGAUGACAGCUGCUGGCAUGAGCCGCCCUCUAAACUCUUCCUCUGUGUCUGAAAGACAUGGACUCCUGGUCUGGAUGAUGUGGAAGAUGAACCUGGAGAUGCUCAAGAGUGUCUGGCUCACGUGUCUCUCACACACACACACACACACACAGAACACUCAGGCUUGGCUCACUAAUACAGAAAGAGUCAGAACACCUUGGUAGAUAAGUAGAUCACCGUUAUUAACUCUUUCUUAUUACUUAUAGGGCCAUUUUCAGGUUUGUGUAUCAGUUUCUCUAUUACAUGGCAAUUUCUCAAGUUCUCAAAUCAGUUGCUUAAACAUUUUCUUUAACCCUCCUGGAAAUCUGAUGCCGCAAAAUGUGUAGUUGUCCCCAUUAAAUUAGACAAAUUGGACAAAAAAUGACGUGAAAAAGAAUGUCAAACAUAUAUUUAGAGACAUUAAACAAAAAAACAAACAAAAAAGGUAUUUUAUAAGAAUUUUGAUUUUGCCUAAACAAAAACAGUAUACAAAAUUAAAAUCUCCCUUGCUAAAAUUAAACUACAUUACAAAAACAUAGUUUAUUUUUUUUUUAAAUAUAAUAUUAUUAUUAUUAUUAUUAUGUUGAGGAAGGCAGGUCCAUGUAUGUAUGAUCAUCUGGAAACCAUUUCCUCCUCUAUUAUACCUGACGGCUACCCAGGGUGAGGUGCUCAAAUUUAAAUUUUCCGGAAAAAAUCCUCACCUUUACUUAACUGGAUAGAAGACACCUGGAUGCAGAAGAUUUCUCUCUACAAAAUGCUGCUGUAAUCGUCAUCACUGCAGUCGUCACUUCGGCACAUUUAGUCCAUUUAGUCCAUUACUCUUCUCCAUCUGUGGACUGUAAUGAUUCUAAUCGCAUCAUCUGGUGUCACCCAUAAGAGGAUGGGGUCCCUUUUGAGCCUGGUUCCUCUCAAGGUUUCUUCCUCAUGUCAUCUCAGGGAGUUGUUCCUUGCCACCGUCGCCUCAGGCUUGCUCAUAAGGGAUUUUAAUCUAUAUCCAGAAUCCUGUAACAGAAAAAGAAUUGUACGAAUAAAUUUAAGCUGAAUUGA